GACGAACGCUGGCGGCGUGCCUAAUACAUGCAAGUAGAACGCAGUUGCGAACGGGGGAGUAACGCGUAGGUAACUGCCUCAUAGCGGGGGACAACUAUUGGAAACGAUAGCUAAUACCGCCUACUGCGAGAUGGACCUGUGUUGGAUUAGCUAGUUGGUGAGGUAAAGGCUCACCAAGGCGACGAUACAUAGCCGACCUGAGAGGGUGAUCGGGCACCCCUGUACUGAGAAACGGCCCAGACUCCUACGGGGUGGAGCCGUAGGGAAUCUUCGGCAAUGGACGGAAGUCUGACCGAGCAACGCCGCGUGAGUGAAGAAGGUUUUCGGAUCGUAAAGCUCUGUUGUUAGGACAACGGUAACUAACCAGAAAGGGACGGCUAACUACGUGCCAGCCGCCGCGGUAAUAC
rnacentral:rRNA from 1 species